rnacentral:rRNA from 1 species
UACGAAGGAUUCGAGCGUUAUCCGGAUUUAUUGGGUUUAAAGGGUGCGUAGGCGGCCUGAUAAGUCAGUGGUGAAAGCCUGUUGCUUAACAACAGAACUGCCAUUGAUACUGCCAGUCUUGAGUACAGUUGAGGUAGGCGGAAUGUGUCAUGUAGUGGUGAAAUACUUAGAUAUGACACAGAACACCGAUUGCGAAGGCAGCUUGCUAAACUGUAACUGACGCUGAGGCACGAAAGCAUGGGGAGCAAACGGG